GACGAACGCUGGCGGCGUGCUUAACACAUGCAAGUCGAGCGAUGAAAUUCUCUUCGGAGAAUGGAUUAGCGGCGGACGGGUGAGUAACACGUGGGUAACCUGCCUUAUAGUGGGGGAUAGCCUUUCGAAAGGAAGAUUAAUACCGCAUAAUAUUGUAGUUUCACAUGAAACAACAAUUAAAGAUUUAUCGCUAUAAGAUGGACCCGCGGCGCAUUAGCUAGUUGGUGGGUAACGGCUACCAAGGCGACGAUGCGUAGCCGACCUGAGAGGGUGAUCGGCCACAUUGGGACUGAGACACGGCCCAGACUCCUACGGGAGGCAGCAGUGGGGAAUAUUGCACAAUGGGGGAAACCCUGAUGCAGCAACGCCGCGUGAGUGAUGACGGUCUUCGGAUUGUAAAGCUCUUUUGAGAGGGACGAGAGAUUACUUCAGGAAAUGGGAGUAAGAGG
rnacentral:rRNA from 1 species